UGCUGGGAGUCAAACUGCGGCGGCGCCGGAGCCGGAGCCGCGAGUCGCCGUCGAGCGUGUCCUUUCCUCUCCUCUAGCCCACACAGCCUCCAUCUUCUUCUUCCUCCCGCACAUAAGUGACGGACACGGAUGGCGGCGGCCCAGCGACGGUAGCCUCCCUCUGGAUCUUCUCUCGUUGCCCUCUUGUUGAAGCCACCGAGGGGGACAAAGGACGCGUACCCAAGACAACGCGCUCACAGUGGCGCAGAUCCCCCUGUUGCCUGGUGCCGGCAGUAUGUUGCCCUGUCCCUUUCGGUUGGGUUGGCCGGCGGGAGCGAGUGAAAGGGGAUCGUGAGGGGAUAGUGCACUGCAGGUAAGCUUGCAGGGGAAGAAAUUCGAUGGAGGAGCUCACACAGAGAGGUUACGCAAUAUUUACAUUACAUUUCCUUGCUGAUGAGCGACACUAACCUAAUGAUGUAUUUCUCAUAGAUUUUCAUUUCCUUGGUACUCAAGUUCAAUAGAUUCAUCUCAUAAUCUUGCCACUGACAAUAGCUCUUGCAACUUUGCAAGCUUACAUAUGUUGAUUACCUAGGGUAAUGCAAUUGUGCAAACCGCGAGCACCACCGCUGGAUCAACAAGAAUCCAGACAUGCCACAAGAAGGAAAGUUUGCUAAAGCUCUUUAAUUGGGACGGUGGGAUCUGCUUUGUUUUCCCUUCUUGGGUUCUCCUUUUAUAAUCUUGAGUGCCAGCAUAUCAAAGACAGUCUAUGUACUUUCCCGAGAAUGAAAUGUUGUUAUAUUUAUGGGUUCUUGUCUGGGUGCCAUGAUUUAACUUUCUUUGCACUAUCUCUUACCAGUGUUUGUUCUUUCUCAGGCUGUGAGGCCUGAGUUUUUGACUUGCACCUUUGGCAGGUCAUUGAAAUCAGAACCCCGUCAACUCUGAAGCGGCUGCUACAUCAAUUUCUAUAACUCACAGAAUUCCCUACUUCAAUUGCACAUGCAUGCUUGAUGGAUAUGAGGAUAUCUUGUACGAGUUAACGAAUUCUAGCAUUAAGUCGUACUUCCUGAAGACGUAGUUGAUUAUGAAACUCAGAUACUGUAACCUUAGACCGGAUCAGAAGCAACAUUUGUACAUGCCCCGUUCCAGAAUAUGCAGAGAAGAUGAUUGCUGCAAUUGAUGAAGUACGAGUUGAUAGAAAUUAGAUUGGUGGGACGGUCACAUGUAUUGCGAGAAAUGUUCCUCGUGCUCGGGAAUGAUAUACAAUUAUGUUGGGUACUUCCUGUGGGAUUUUUCACCUUUCGUGUACCUGUGUUAGGUAAGUCUUGGAGCGAGUAGUGGAUGGCGUGGAUGGUUCUGGCUGAUGGCGUGGAUGGCCACGACAGAGUCGACGGUGGAGGCGGCCGCUAGCUCAGGGUGUCACGUCCAUGGUCAUCCUGUCUGCUGUUUGCAGCACGGAUGUCGUAGAUGGCGUGUAGGCCAACCUUGACCAGCAACGUAGGUGCAGGUCAUUUCCCCAUAAUGGCAACAGUGGCGACGGAGAGGUACAGUCGCCGCCAUGGACUGCUGCAGAUGGCGCUUUGCCUUGGGAUGGUGAUGCUGCUUCCCCUGUGGGACGGGGUGGCUUUGCCUUGGCGCUACCAUUGUCGUUGAGGAUGCAGGACAUGGUGGUGGUUCCACUGGAUCCAGCACGGUUUUAGGCUGCAUAUUGUUGCUGCUCCUAUUUUUCUGCCAGGUUGCAGGGGAUUGAGCGGCAGUGCUCUGUGUCGUUGGUACAUCAAUAAAGAUCUACCAGAAAUAACUGAGAUACUUACACAUAAGUACUCCUGGUGCAGUUAGGGAUUUUUUUAUACCAUGGUGCAUCUUUCUGAUGUGCGUGUUGCUUCAGAUGGUCACUUGUCUUACUAUCUACUCUGCUAUUUUGUGUGGGAAUUCCCUGACUUUUUACAGUAGAAAGCAGGAAAGCAUUGCCCCACCUUUUAUUUUUAGCACGAUAUUCAGUGCUAAUUUUGAGUAGAAGAAGUGGAAAAAUUUCAGGGAGGAGGACGGAUAUGUUGGAUCUACUUCGAUGGUGGAGGCUGGCGCUAGAUUUUGGGUGAUUUGCUUCGAUGGUCGAAGCCGGUGCUGGAUUGGGGUUUCACGAUCAUGAUGGUCAUCCUUUCUGCCAGCACUGCAUGGCGUCGACGUUGUGCGGGCGAAGCUUUAGCAUCAAACACGAAGUAGCCUGCAUGUUCAUAUGCAUAGUCGAUGGCGCGCUGACAUCAUGGCUGCCGUGGUCUACAAGUUGGAGCAGUGGUACCUGCCACAUGACUUCCAGGGCGCUGCUCGUGGAGCUCCAGUUGCAGAGCACUUAGGCUCCGCCGACUUGCCAUGGCCGAGCUUCGCUGCAGCGUCCUCUUCAGGUUGGAGCAGUGGUACCUGCCACAUGACUUCCAGGGCGCUGCUCGUGGAGCUCCAGUUGCAGAGCACUUAGGCUCCGCCGACUUGCCAUGGCCGAGCUUCGCUGCAGCGCCACAGUCGUUGCCGAGGCCGCAGGACAUCAUGGUGGUGGAACCUGGGGUGGUGAUCAUAAGAGAGUAGGAGAGGAGUGUAUGUGUGUGUGUGUGUGUGUGUGUGGUCGCGAGGUGUUCAAUUUAUAUUUCAUAACAAAACCUUUAUCUCUUAACCCAGUUCUUCUGCUUGCAUAUUUGUUGUGGUUUUGUGGUGUGGUAAGAAUUGGAAGGGCAAGUUCAUCAACCAUUUAUCAUACUGACGCAUGUAAUUAUACUCUAGAUCCUUUUGUACAUGCAUGUUUAUUUCAAACCAUUCAUGAGUUGCGUGGGGUUCUAAUCGUUGUGCUGGUUGUUU